rnacentral:rRNA from 1 species
AGUUUGAUCCUGGCUCAGGACGAACGCUGGCGGCGUGCUUAACACAUGCAAGUCUACGAGAAAGUGUCUUUCGGGAUGCGAGUAAAGUGGCGCACGGGUGAGUAACACGUAAGCAAUCUACCCUUAGGCCUGGGAUAACCCCGAGAAAUCGGGGCUAAUACCGGAUGAUGCAGCGGCACCGCAUGGUGAUGUUGUUAAAGUCUAUAUGGCGUCUAGGGAUGAGCUUGCGUCUGAUUAGCUUGUUGGUGAGGUAACGGCUUACCAAGGCUGCGAUCAGUAGCUGGUCUGAGAGGAUGAUCAGCCACACUGGAACUGAGACACGGUCCAGACUCCUACGGGAGGCAGCAGUGAGGAAUAUUGGGCAAUGGGCGAAAGCCUGACCCAGCAACGCCGCGUGGAGGAUGAAUGUCGUAAGAUUGUAAACUCCUGUUAGAGGGGAAGAAUAAUUCCGAUCGAAUCGGAACUUGACUGUACCCUCAGAGAAAGCUCCGGCUAACUACGUGCCAGCAGCCGCGGUAAUACGUAGGGAGCAAGCGUUGUCCGGAUUUACUGGGUGUAAAGGGCGCGCAGGCGGGUCAGUAAGUCAGAGGUGAAAUCCUACAGCUCAACUGUAGAACUGCCUUUGAUACUGCUGAUCUUGAGUAU